rnacentral:rRNA from 1 species
AUUGAACGCUGGCGGCAGGCCUAACACAUGCAAGUCGAGCGGAUGAAGGGAGCUUGCUCCUGGAUUCAGCGGCGGACGGGUGAGUAAUGCCUAGGAAUCUGCCUGGUAGUGGGGGAUAACGUCCGGAAACGGGCGCUAAUACCGCAUACGUCCUGAGGGAGAAGGUGGGGGAUCUUCGGACCUCACGCUAUCAGAUGAGCCUAGGUCGGAUUAGCUAGUUGGUGGGGUAAAGGCCUACCAAGGCGACGAUCCGUAACUGGUCUGAGAGGAUGAUCAGUCACACUGGAACUGAGACACGGUCCAGACUCCUACGGGAGGCAGCAGUGGGGAAUAUUGGACAAUGGGCGAAAGCCUGAUCCAGCCAUGCCGCGUGUGUGAAGAAGGUCUUCGGAUUGUAAAGCACUUUAAGUUGGGAGGAAGGGCAGUAAGUUAAUACCUUGCU